AUUGAACGCUGGCGGCAUGCCUUACACAUGCAAGUCGAACGGUAACAGGUCUUCGGAUGCUGACGAGUGGCGAACGGGUGAGUAAUACAUCGGAACGUGCCCAGACGUGGGGGAUAACGAGGCGAAAGCUUUGCUAAUACCGCAUACGAUCUAAGGAUGAAAGCAGGGGACCGCAAGGCCUUGUGCGUUUGGAGCGGCCGAUGGCAGAUUAGGUAGUUGGUGGGAUAAAAGCUUACCAAGCCGACGAUCUGUAGCUGGUCUGAGAGGACGACCAGCCACACUGGGACUGAGACACGGCCCAGACUCCUACGGGAGGCAGCAGUGGGGAAUUUUGGACAAUGGGCGAAAGCCUGAUCCAGCAAUGCCGCGUGCAGGAUGAAGGCCUUCGGGUUGUAAACUGCUUUUGUACGGAACGAAAAGGCUCAGGCUAAUACCUGGGGCACAUGACGGUACCGUAAGAAUAAGCACCGGCUAACUACGUG
rnacentral:rRNA from 1 species